ACUCCUACGGGAGGCAGCAGUGGGGAAUAUUGCACAAUGGGCGCAAGCCUGAUGCAGCAACGCCGCGUGAGUGAUGAAGGCCUUCGGGUCGUAAAGCUCUGUCCUCAAGGAAGAAUAAAUGACGGUACUUGAGGAGGAAGCCCCGGCUAACUACGUGCCAGCAGCCGCGGUAAUACGUAGGGGGCAAGCGUUAUCCGGAAUCACUGGGCGUAAAGGGUGCGUAGGCGGUUUUUCAAGUCAGAAGUGAAAGGCUAUGGCUCAACCAUAGUAAGCUUUUGAAACUGUUAAACUUGAGUGCAGGAGAGGAAAGUGGAAUUCCUAGUGUAGAGGUGAAAUUCGUAGAUAUUAGGAGGAACACCAGUGGCGAAGGCGACUUUCUGGACUGUAACUGACGCUGAGGCACGAAAGCGUGGGGAGCGAACAGGAUUAGAUACCCUGGUAGCACAGGG
rnacentral:rRNA from 1 species